AUGGAGGCCCACUUCAGCUCCUGCUGGCAGCGUGGUGGCCGGCUGGGCCCUGGGAUCCACUGCUGGGAUCCGCAUCUCACAACUGAGGCUCUGGUCCUUCAUUGUGUGAAGAGUAAGAGGAAUGCCCUGGCCCUCAACUUUGAAAGACUUGUAAUGGAACCUCUAAGAAAACAUUACCCACCUGGACAAAUAAGAACCAUGCUGGAUGGUGCUGGAAGUUGUGGACAAGGUCACAGAGUGCCCUGCUGGAAGCAGUAUUUUGGAAAGGAUAAUCGGGAAGCACCCCCUUGGAAUGGAUGGACAGACAAGUCAGCACACUUGAGCAGAGUGCUCUCUCAGCAGCACUAUGCAUCUCCCUCCCACGCUCUGAGAAUUGGGCCUAAUGGGCUCUUGUGAAUUUACCAUCUGGAAUAAGAAGCACUGAUCUACCAUAUACUACUGUCCCUCUCCAAAGGGGCAAAGGCCUCGAUAGCAGUGUGCCUGCUUCUUCGCAGACAUGGAAGCCACAGAAGCACUGGAAUCUGGUGACUCCUCUGAGAAGAUGAUUCACUGUCAUGAAUAUCCAAGUCUCUACACCUUUGCCCACCUGCAGGCUUCUGACUCACCCCUUUCCCCCUUGAUGAUCCAUCAGCUUUCUGAAAAUGAAACCAUCUCCAGGAAGUCUAGGCUGCCAGAGAUCCAGAUAGAUGAUGAAGAGUAAAGAAAUGAGCCAGCCCAGGGAAUAAUUAUGAAGUCGGUAGCAUUGGCCUUUAGGUCCUAUGGUCUGUUAUAUCUCCCCACCCCCUCACCUCCCUUUUUGUGCUGCUUUCACGAACACCAGGAUACUGACCACUCCUAUUCUUCCCCUUCCUGGACCUGUUCCAGUAGGUGCUUAGUGGUCCAUGCCUCCUGCAUCAAAUUACUAUUCUUUGUCCUGAUCCAUUAGUGGUGGUUAACUAGGGCUUUAGUUGCUAAGUUGUGUCCAACUCUUGUGACCCCAUGGGCUGUAGCCUGCCAGGCUCCUCUGUCAAUGGGAUUCUCAAGGCAAGAAUACUGGAGUGGGUUUCCAUUUCCUUCUCCAAGGGAUCUUCCGACCCAGGAAUCGAACCCAGGUCUCCUGCAUUUCAGGCAGACUCUUUACUGACUGAGCCAUCAGGGAAGCCCGACCCAUUAGCAGGGGACCAAUUAGAUGUAUUCCAGUGGGAAUAUGUCCAUGAGGAUUCAGUGGUUGAGAAUAAUACUUUAUUGUGCUAUCUUCUCUGGGAGAUAUUUUGAAGGGAGCCCUAAAGGGUACUGUGACUCAAUCAGACUCUUGCAGCCUCUAUAGCAGGCUGGUGGGGAAGGCUUAUAGUGCUAAUCUAUGUGUCAGAGCACAAAGAGGCAGCCUGAGGAUUCAAGAAGAUGCCAUACUUGUUUUGAAUGCGUGGUUGCCUCCCUCUCACACUUUUGUACGUGAUGCUUCAAGCACCAGCUGAUUGGCUAAAUUUUCCCCAUAUUUUUAUCACCUUCAAAUUCAGUAUGACUCUUCUUGAACUUAAACUAAAAAAUGUCAUUGUGUGGCCAUUUGUCCAUACUCACAUUUCACCUUGGGAGCUUACUCACCUGAGAAGCUGAUCAUUUUGGGACGAUGGCUAUAGCCUUCCUUUUCAUACUUGUAGAGUGUAAGGCAGGAGUGCAAGUGGAGGACCAUAUAACAUAUGUCUAAAUAUUUCAUAAUGUUGUAAAUCAAGCUAAUGGACUAUUACAUCGAAUCCGUCCAUCUUCCUAUCUUGACAAUUAUACCUUCUUAAUAGCAAAAUUGACAAAUAUGUUUAAAGCUAUUCUUGUUAUAUGACUGAAGGUUGGCAGAAAAUCGAAGAUGACAGAAUUUAAUUGUCUCUCUACAUAUAGAAAUAAUUUUUAUUAUUGAUGAUGUUUGGCUAAUUAAUAAAACAAAUG
ensembl:lncRNA